CCUACGGGAGGCUGCAGUGGGGAAUAUUGGACAAUGGGGGCAACCCUGAUCCAGCCAUGCCGCGUGUGUGAAGAAGGCCCUCGGGUUGUAAAGCACUUUCAGUGAGGAAGAACGCCUGGUGGUUAAUACCCAUCAGGAAAGACAUCACUCACAGAAGAAGCACCGGCUAACUCCGUGCCAGCAGCCGCGGUAAUACGGAGGGUGCGAGCGUUAAUCGGAAUUACUGGGCGUAAAGCGCGCGUAGGUGGCUUGAUAAGCCGGUUGUGAAAGCCCCGGGCUCAACCUGGGAACGGCAUCCGGAACUGUCAAGCUAGAGUGCAGGAGAGGAAGGUAGAAUUCCCGGUGUAGCGGUGAAAUGCGUAGAGAUCGGGAGGAAUACCAGUGGCGAAGGCGGCCUUCUGGACUGACACUGACACUGAGGUGCGAAAGCAUGGGUAGCAAACAGGAUUAGAUACCCUGGUAGUC
rnacentral:rRNA from 1 species